rnacentral:rRNA from 1 species
AGUGAACGCUGGCGGUAGGCCUAACACAUGCAAGUCGAACGGCAGCACAGUAAGAGCUUGCUCUUACGGGUGGCGAGUGGCGGACGGGUGAGGAAUACAUCGGAAUCUACUUUUUCGUGGGGGAUAACGUAGGGAAACUUACGCUACUACCGCAUACGACCUACGGGUGAAAGCAGGGGAUCUUCGGACCUUGCGCGAUUGAAUGAGCCGAUGUCGGAUUAGCUAGUUGGCGGGGUAAAGGCCCACCAAGGCGACGAUCCGUAGCUGGUCUGAGAGGAUGAUCAGCCACACUGGAACUGAGACACGGUCCAGACUCCUACGGGAGGCAGCAGUGGGGAAUAUUGGACAAUGGGCGCAAGCCUGAUCCAGCCAUACCGCGUGGGUGAAGAAGGCCUUCGGGUCGUAAAGCCCUUUUGUUGGGAAAGAAAAGCAGCAUGUUAAUACCCCGCUGUCCUGACGGUACCCAAAGAAUAAGCACCGGCUAACUUCGUG